UAUCUCUGUCUCUCUGUCUCUCUGUCUCUCUGUCUCUCUGUCUCUCUCUCUCUCUCUCUCUCUCUCUCCAGAUUAUCGCUAGUAGCUCUUACUUUAUUCCAAUGCCCUUUUCAUACAACUAAAGCUGUACUGUUGCUGGCUCUGAUAUGGUUAUUUUCACCACAGAUCCAGCAACAGUGGUAUGGUGGACGUGUAACUAGGUCAGUGCAGUGCCGCUUGGCUCAGCUCUGUUUUGGCUCAGCUGGGCUCAGUAGUGUGAAAAGGGAUUCAACGGUACCAGGGUCUGACUCAGUCUUCAGUGAUACGUCUCCCCUGGUCCAGAAACCUGGAGGUGGGAGCUAGAGGAGGAUGCGGGGGGGGUCAGUCAGUUAGACAACAGUUUGAAGGUAAAAUAUGCGUGUUCCGUUUGCCAUUUGCUCUAGUGAAGCAGAAAUUAGUCAAAAUAUCAAAAGUAGGAUGAAAAAAACAUAUGUUAUUACAUAGGUCACGUAUGUUAUUACAUAGGUCACGUAUGUUAUUACAUAGGUCACGUAUGUUAUUACAUGGGUCACGUAUGUUAUUACAUGGGUCACGUAUGUUAUUACAUGGGUCACGUAUGUUAUUACAUGGGUCACGUAUGUUAUUACAUGGGUCACGUAUGUUAUUACAUGGGUCACGUAUGUUAUUACAUAGGUCACGUAUGUUAUUACAUAGGUCACGUAUGUUAUUACAUAGGUCACGUAUGUUAUUACAUAGGUCACGUAUGUUAUUACAUAGGUCACGUAUGUUAUUACAUAGGUCACGUAUGUUAUUACAUAGGUCACGUAUGUUAUUACAUAGGUCACGUAUGUCCUGAAAUUCUGUCAUUGUGAUUAGUGUGGACUAGAGGAAAGCAAUGAAUGUCUGUCUCCAUAGGAACAACACUGAUGGCCUGGGAUAGUGCCUUGCUUUGGAGAUUUACAUGGCAUGCAUGUACAGUACAGUAUAUUAUGGGACAGAUGUGGCCUUUUUGAUUAAAAUAAUAAUAUUUUAAUCCCAAUAAAACUAAACUGAGGUCAAAGGAAAGCAGUGGGUGGAUAGGACAAUUCACUAGCCUGGUCCCAGAUCUGUUUGUGGUAACUUAACCACCAUAGGACUUGGCAAGACGGUUCAAACAGAUCUGGGACCAGGCUAGAAUUUCACAACAAGGAUCUAGCAUUCCUUAAGUCAGUUCAAGUUAAACCAGAUCAUAGCAUGUGAAUAACAGGUCAUAACGUGUGAAUAACAUGUUAAUAACAGAUGGUUAUUACACUUCAAUCAGAUUGUCUGUUUGGACUCAACCCUCGAUCAGUAUGUAACCUGUAGUUGAUUGUGACGUAUGCCUGUGUCUUGUUCAAUGAACAUUUACAUUCAAAUAAUAAAUCCCUUCAUUUUUCUAUUUGAUUUGAUAAAAGAAAUAUCCAUCGAUGUAGAAUGUAAUUUCAUGGACACAGCUAGACAGCUGUUUUGAUGUGUUAGCAUGUGGUUUAAGAAGAACUAAAUAACUAUUUCAGUUUUAUAUUGAUGAAGAGAAAAAAAGAUUGUGCCAGCUUACAACGACUUGUGUUUUCUUUCGGCGAGGGAGAGUUGUCGGUAUACUUUUUUUUAAAGAGAUGUGUUACUUGUCCCUGCUUCAGAUGUUAGAUUGAACUAUUUCAGACACGGUAGCUUUGACAGUGCUGUUUAAACUCUUGUCUCUUGCACCAAAUCACUGCUUUUUAAAAAGCAAUAGCCUAGUACAUUUAAGCAAACAGUGAAUUUACAUUUUAUGUCCAUUAUUAACUUUGCUUAAAAUGUCUCCCCACACUUUUGAAGGUGUAAUAGAUAACAUUGUAAGAUUGCAUGGAUUAAGCUCAAACUACACCCAAGUUAUUUAUUGAAUGCCAAUUCAGGUCAAAAUAAAACGGACUUUGAUACAAAUUCAAAAAUCCAACGUUGGAGAAGUUAACUGUCUAUUUAACAUAGUCUUGUGCCUUGAAGUUGAAGUACUAGAAUUUAUACUGUGGUCUGUGUUUUAUAUUCUGAGUCUUGUAUUUGUCUCUUGUUGCUCUUCUGCGCUUUGAGUGUAAUUAUUUAAUUAAUUAAUAGAUUAAUAGAUUAAAUAGAUUAUAUAGAUUAAUAGAUUAUAUAGAUUAAUAGAUUAAUUAAUUAAUAAUAUAAAAUAUUUUCUCCGUUUUGAUCAUUUGCCUGCUUUUAUUUUUCAUUUAAACAAAUUGUGUUUUAGAGGAACUGAGGACUGAAACAGGCAAUAACGAAUCUGUCAUAAGACCUUGUGACAAUUUAAGAGUUUUUGGUUUUCGUAUCUUGUUUUAGCACUUUGGAAAAAAAUGUGUGUAACAUUAUUAUUAUUAUUAUUAUUAUUAUUAUUAAUCACAAAUAAUUGGUGAUCAUUAGCCUGCCUUAUUCCUUCCAACCAUGACUUUUUAUGAAAUAAUAUUUCAAUCAUGGCCAGUGUAUGAAAUACAAAAAUUUAAUAUCUGCACUUUAUUAAGUAUGUUGCCCGACAGGACACUCAUCACCCCUUUUCUAUGUAUUUUUACCUUUGUCUGAAUUAGUCAUUUUAUUUUUGAUAUUUUUCCAUUUAGUUUCAACUAGUAAUGCAAAGGGAUGGGUAGUCCUAAAUGUUAGCAAAACUAUUUUAAUGAAACAAUCACAUGUUCACGGUGUCAAGGGUGAUAUUGUAUUAUUGUUAUGCCAUUUCCAGGCCAUGUCUCUGCCUUCCUGAAACUGAAAAGCAUAGUUUGUGUCAACUUUUAUAGUAAUGUAUCUGUUUGUUUGAUUUUGCCCUAUGUAACAAACAUACUAGUAAACAACAUAUACCUA